rnacentral:rRNA from 1 species
UACGUAGGCAGCGAGCGUUGUUCGGAGUUACUGGGCGUAAAGGGUGCGUAGGCGGUUGUUUAAGUUUGGUGGGAAAUCUCCCGGCUCAACUGGGAGGGUGCGCCGAAUACUGAAUGACUAGAGUGCGGGAGAGGAGAGUGGAAUUCCUGGUGUAGCGGUGAAAUGCGUAGAUAUCAGGAGGAACACCGGUGGUGUAGACGGCUCUCUGGACCGUAACUGACGCUGAGGCACGAAAGCGUGGGUAGCAAACAGG